AUUCUUGCGCUUGGGCAAUGACGCAGCUAGUGAGAUACUAAUCGAGACGUGUUUAUUACUGGUUGAAAACUAUUUUCAAACAUCCUUUUCGGUUUGGGCUCUAUCUAGAUCGUAGAUAAUUUUUGGAAGGGCUCCUUAAAGGGUAAAGCC
rnacentral:snRNA from 1 species